GUGGGGAAUAUUGGACAAUGGGCGCAAGCCUGAUCCAGCAAUGCCGCGUGCAGGAAGAAGGCCUUCGGGUUGUAAACUGCUUUUGUACGGAACGAAACGGUCCGGGUUAAUACCCUGGGCUAAUGACGGUACCGUAAGAAUAAGCACCGGCUAACUACGUGCCAGCAGCCGCGGUAAUACGUAGGGUGCAAGCGUUAAUCGGAAUUACUGGGCGUAAAGCGUGCGCAGGCGGUUUUGUAAGACAGGCGUGAAAUCCCCGGGCUCAACCUGGGAAUUGCGCUUGGGACUGCAAGGCUGGAGUGCGGCAGAGGGGGAUGGAAUUCCGCGUGUAGCAGUGAAAUGCGUAGAUAUGCGGAGGAACACCGAUGGCGAAGGCAAUCCCCUGGGCCUGCACUGACGCUCAUGCACGAAAGCGUGGGGAGCAAACAGGAUUAGAAACCCGAGUAGUCC
rnacentral:rRNA from 1 species